rnacentral:rRNA from 1 species
UACGUAGGAGGCAAGCGUUGUCCGGAAUUAUUGGGCGUAAAGAGCGCGUAGGCGGUCCGGUAAGUCGGUUGUGAAAGUCGGGGGCUCAACCCUCGGAUGCCGAUCGAUACUGUCGGGCUAGAGUCCGGAAGAGGCGAGUGGAAUUCCUGGUGUAGCGGUGAAAUGCGCAGAUAUCAGGAGGAACACCAAUGGCGAAGGCAGCUCGCUGGGACGGUACUGACGCUGAGGCGCGAAAGCGUGGGGAGCAAACAGG